UACGGGCCAUGGGCGUCGUCACCGGGACCACCCACAGCAUCGCUGCUUCCUUCUCGUCGGUCGGACAAGCUUGUCGCCGUAUCAGCAUUGGGUGGCCGAGGGUCUUUGAGCGGAUGUCCAUGGUGGCUUGCUAGAUCAAGGAACCUAAGUGGGGGAGAAAGUCGCGAUGAGGCAAAUCGGUUAGGGCACAUUGCCGGUGGUAGGUGAUGGCGGCCGUGCGAGAGCGACAACAUCGUGCCACCCGCACUCCUCCACUCUGAAGACGACCACGAGCUAUGGUACUCUUCUUACAAUACGAUGCUCCUUUUCACUCCCCAGUUCAAUCAUUUUAUACUCCUCUCCCUACUCUUAUUUCUUGGUGUAAGGGAAUGCACUCAAGGUGUUUGACGAAUUGCUAAGCUUUAACCCGAGAUCGACUCCGGGUCUUCUUCCCCUUUUGAUUUUGUCCGCACGGCCAGGACAGAGGCGUCAGGGAUAGAUCCUACACCUUUGGAGUCUCGAUCUCAUGCUUUCCCUACUUCUGGCGUCGUCCUAUGUGGAGCAUCUUGAGGGUCAGCUCUUCUGCUGGAACGCCAUGGUGGCUGCUCCAUCGUCAUCGCCCCUGCCGCUCCGAUGCGGCCUCGCGAAAGUUUGUGCGAGUAAGGGCUGUUGGCAGCGGCUUGUGUUGCGUUGAAACCAAGCUAGGUGUGGUGCUGUGGUAGAUUCCUGCUCCUGCAUAAGGAAGAUGGGGCUUUUCGCUCCUCCUCAUUUUUCCACUCAGACUACUGCUAAUUUGAGUAAUGCACUGUGGAAUCUUUUGAUGGUCAAGAGGACAGGUAGGUGGAGGCCACCGUGCAGCACUGUGUUUAUCUUGUCGGGGUCUGCUACAAAAAUCCGGCUAUGCACAAGUAUGCCGAUGCUCUCAAGCCAGCUAGCCCUAACACAUCAGGAGAAUGGAAGAAUCAAGCUGGACAUUUUCUAGCAAUCAGUGUGAAGAAGACAAGAAGCAUAAUAGCCUCUUAUGUACAGGUUGUCCUCAUUUUUGUUGUAUAAUGCUUGAUUCCUUAUUCAGUUCUGAUGGAUUGUGAUUUUAUUCGUCACGCUUCUUUCCAACUUCAUGGAUCUGCUCUCUCAUGAGCGAGCAAUGCAUGUUCUUAUUGCUCGGAUGUGGUUUGUAUUUUCAUGACGUAAAAAGACGACAUGCCUAACUGAUUGAGGAGAAAUUUCAUUCCUCUCUUUUUCAUUGUAAGCUCUUUGAGAUGAGAUGGACCUUUGUCUCUCUAAAGGUAUUAUUAUCAUUUGCAGCUUCCUGGACAACCUGACGCCCACCACUCCUCGCGAGGUCCAGAUCCUCCUAUCCAUGCCCGUCGUCGUGGACUGUGACAACUUGAACCCCUCAAGACCGGUGGUGAGUAGCGGGGAGCGUUGUGACCAAACGACAUCAUUGUACCCAAGCCUCAUCGCCCAGAAGAAUGCGGACUUGGAAGCCGACGCCAUCCCAUACCGGCUGAAAUCCAUGGCCAUGUUGUGCAUGUCAUGGCCGCUCUGACCUUUAGCGAGUAACUUUGGUGCUUGUCAUCUCUGCUAGCAAAUUGCACCAUCUUUCUCGUUCUUACACACCGAUUAAUCUAUUGUUUCCAUGAGCUGAAUAUAUGCAGAUCAACACAACCAUUACACGACUUGCAAGAAUUGGUGUGAUUGUUUGUUCUGAUUUUGGAUCAUUACGUAAUGCUAUUGGUUAGAACAUUUUCAUUAUGUAAAAAAUCAUUUUGCAAUCAUAGCAUAUUCAUGUGCUUGUCAGAA